rnacentral:rRNA from 1 species
UACAGAGGGGGCAAGCGUUGUUCGGAAUUACUGGGCGUAAAGGGCGCGUAGGCGGCCUUCUUAGUCGAACGUGAAAUCCCCGGGCUCAACCCGGGAACUGCGUCCGAUACUGGAAGGCUCGAAUCCGGGAGAGGUGAGUGGAACUGCGAGUGUAGAGGUGAAAUUCGUAGAUAUUCGCAAGAACACCAGUGGCGAAGGCGGCUCACUGGCCCGGUACUGACGCUGAGGUGCGAAAGCUAGGGAGCAAACGGG